rnacentral:miRNA from 1 species
GUUAGGUUGGCCAAAAAGUUUCUUCGGAUUUUUCCAUAACACCUUAUGGAAAACCCUGAAUGAACUUUUUGACCAAGCCAA